rnacentral:sRNA from 1 species
CUUGGUCAUUUAGAGGAAGUAAAAGUCGUAACAAGGUCUCCGUAGGUGAACCUGCGGAGGGAUCAUUACAAGAACGCCCGGGCUUCGGCCUGGUUAUUCAUAACCCUUUGUUGUCCGACUCUGUUGCCUCCGGGGCGACCCUGCCUUCGGGCGGGGGCUCCGGGUGGACACUUCAAACUCUUGCGUAACUUUGCAGUCUGAGUAAACUUAAUUAAUAAAUUAAAACUUUUAACAACGGAUCUCUUGGUUCCGGCAUCGAUGAAGAACGCAGCGAAAUGCGAUAAGUAAUGUGAAUUGCAGAAUUCAGUGAAUCAUCGAAUCUUUGAACGCACAUUGCGCCCCCUGGUAUUCCGGGGGGCAUGCCUGUUCGAGCGUCAUUUCACCACUCAAGCCUCGCUUGGUAUUGGGCAACGCGGUCCGCCGCGUGCCUCAAAUCGUCCGGCUGGGUCUUCUGUCCCCUAAGCGUUGUGGAAACUAUUCGCUAAAGGGUGUUCGGGAGGCUACGCCGUAAAACAACCCCAUUUCUAAGGUUGACCUCGGAUCAGGUAGGGAUACCCGCUGAACUUAAGCAUAUCAAUAAGCGGAGGAAAAGAAACCAACAGGGAUUGCUCUAGUAACGGCGAGUGAAGCAGCAAUAGCUCAAAUUUGAAAUCUGGCGUCUUCGACGUCCGAGUUGUAAUUUGUAGAGGAUGCUUCUGAGUGGCCACCGACCUAAGUUCCUUGGAACAGGACGUCAUAGAGGGUGAGAAUCCCGUAUGCGGUCGGAAAGGCGCUCUAUACGUAGCUCCUUCGACGAGUCGAGUUGUUUGGGAAU